rnacentral:rRNA from 1 species
GACGAACGCUGGCGGCGUGCCUAAUACAUGCAAGUCGAACGCAGUGGGGACGGGUGAGUAACACGUGGGUAACCUCCCAUCAGAGGGGAUAACACUUGGAAACAGGUGCUAAACCGAUACUGAUGGAUGGACCCGCGGUGCAUUAGCUAGUUGGUGAGGUAACGGCUCACCAAGGCCACGAGGCAUAGCCGACCCGAGAGGGUGUGCGGGCACACUGGAAGUGGGGCACGGCCCGGACUCGUGCGGGAGGCAGCAGUAGGUAAUCUUCGGCAAUGGACGAAAGUCUGACCAAGCAACGCCGCGUGAGUGAAGAAGGUUUUCGGAUCGUAAAACUCUGUGGUUAGAGGAGCGGUAUCUAACCAGAGAGCCACGGCUAACUACGUGCCAGCAGCCGCGGUAAUUC